CUUAAAUAAGUUUAACAAAUAAAACUUUUUUCACUUAUUGUUUAAUUAAAUCCUCAAAAUAUGUUUUUUUUUAAACUGGGCUCUUAUGAAUUUAGACAAUGAUAAGCAAACUAUAAAAAAUGAUUGCAACAUCCGUCCUUCCCCAAAGCUAUAAUGUCUGUAUCAGUAUCAAUUAAAUUAUUCAUUAUUCUAUUAGUCAUGUAAGAUAAAUGCAUGCCGAUCCAAACAAAUCCAUUUAAGAAUUAUGCAUUAACUGCGCAAAAUAAUGUAAAAUAAGACAUUUAUUUAGUCUUAUGUCUGUUUAAUUGUUCAUAUGAUCCCGAUGCGAGUUACUAGCUGAGAAUGAUUAGCCUGCCUUAAUAUUAUCUAAUUAAUAUAAAUAAUUGAUGUGCAAUUAAUGUUUGUCUACUGUUUUUAAUGCCACUCAGCGUGAUGUAGGCUAAUAUAAUGCCGCGUUUCCACCGAAAUUACCCUGAACAUUUGUACCAGGAACUUUUUUCCCAGGAACUUUUUUCCCCCCAGACCUGUUGCUUUCUGCGUUUCCACCGCGGUGUAAAGUACCGGGUAGAUUAGGCAAAUAGACUGGUGACGUAGGUCUGCGCGCGUUUCUCAAAACAAAGUACUGCUGAUUAAAAAAAAAAAAAAAAAAAAGUACGCUGAUUUUGGACGUGCAUCCUCGGUAGUUGGUUCAGACUUUGUGCAUUCCUCUCGGGAGCGUGAUGUCCGCGACGACGCAAGUCCGGUAAAUCUAUAAACAGCAGCGUACUUGAUAACUUCAGUCUGCUCGUCAUGGAUACUCCAAUUUCCAAUUUUCCUUACUGUAUAUUUACAAUAAAACGAAAUAUGAUAUCAAAUACCACUGCCUCCUUUCGUUUUCAUUUAAGCAUAAUAACAACUGCAGAAAUGUACUUAGUUCAGGGAAAUGUGUAUAUGCAGCCAUUACAAUGAAACGAAAUAUUAUAUAAAUUUGCCUUUUUUAUUUUCAUUUUAACAUAUAGAUAAAUUGAAUACAGACCAAAGAAACCUGUUAGAUUUACCCCGCAGCUGAAUUAUAUGUUAUGUUUAACCACUAAAGACACAUCAGAGCCAGCGGCGCAUAUCAGAAGGUCUAUCCCAGGAGAGGCUGCUCUCUGCGGAUACAUGAGGACUGAGCUCCCGCUGAUCGAGUGGAGCUCACCGUCUACGAGAUCGGCGAAACACAUUUUUAAAUAGGCGCUGUCUUUAUAAAUAAACAACAGAUUUGAGUUUGAAACAACUACAUUCUCGCCUGAAAUACUUUUAAAAUUACAUUUCAUGACACAAUAACAGUAAUAUUUGAAAAUUAUCCGAAUAAAUGGUGGUUGAACUCAACCAAUGCUGCGUGAACUCAGAUCGCUUUGGCUACUGUUAUUUUCCCCUCAGUAUAUUUACAAUAAAACGAAAUAGGAUAUAAAAUACCACUGCCUCCUUUCAUUUUCAUUUAAACAUAAUAACAGCUGCAGAAAUGUACUUAGUUCAGGGAUAAGUGUAACGUUAUAUACAGCCAUUACAAUGAAAGAAAUAUUAUAUAGACUUGCCUUUUUAUUUUCAUUUUUACAUAUAGAUAAAUUGAAUACAGACCAAAGAAAACCUGUUAGAUUUACCCCGCAGCUGAAUUAUAUUUUAUGUUUAACCACUAAAGACACAUCAGAGCCAGCGGCGCAUAUCAGAAGGUCUAUCCCAGGAGAGGCUGCUCUCUGCGGAUACAUGAGGACUGAGCUCCCGCUGAUCGAGUGGAGCUCACCGUCUACGAGAUCGGCGAAACACAUUUUUAAAUAGGCGCUGUCUUUAUAAAUAAACAACAGAUUUGAGUUUGAAACAACUACAUUCUCGCCUGAAAUACUUUUAAAAUUACAUUUCAUGACACAAUAACAGUAAUAUUUUGAAAAUGUUGAUCCGAAUAAAUGGUGGUUGAACUCAACCAAUGCUGCGUGAACUCAACCAAUCAGCAUGUUUAGCGCCAAAGUCCCGCCCCCGAAAGUUCCGGAACUUUAAAAAAGUACCACCUCGCCAGCAGGGACUUUCUGGGGGGCAUUUUUUUACCCGGAACUUUUAUUUAGUUCCUGGUUCCUGCGGUGGAAACACACCAAGUACCGGACCAAGUCCCUAGUUCCUGGGUAAAGUUCCUGCGGUGGAAACGCGGCUUAACAUACAAGUAGAACGUUUCAUGUCUGUUCAUUUCCAGUGGUGCUGAAAUUCUGCUUCAGUCAUAAAAACUUUAAACUGGUACCGGUUUCAGGUUCUUUUAGAGUGACUCCCAGAUUAGUGGAGACACAGCCUGAGUUGAAUAUUAAUAAUUUUAUAUUAAGUCUACUUCGAAAACUGGGCUGGUCAGAUUCAAGGAAUCGACUCUUUUGGAGUCGACUCCUCAUCAGUACUGCGCAUGUGCUUACAAAUCAUCACAUCGACGCGCACGUGGAAGUGAUCGCCGCGGGAAAACUGAGUUUGUCUAGUUCCUCCAUGGUUGUGAGAGGAAAGACCUCAUCCUCGCUGUCCACCACUGGAGCACUGGAACGGUUGUUUGCUGCAAGGGACUGGACCACUGAAGUCAGAUGAUUGAUCUUCAUGUCCAGUUCAUUAAGUGCCUCCAGAAUUGUCCUCUCAACAGCUGCAACACAUUAGAUGGGUGUUCACCCCAAGCCUCUUCUUGCUCAUUUUCAUUGGACAAGCUCACUGGAACAGCUGGAGUUAAGAAAGGUGAAGUUGUGAUAGAUGGGUGUUCUUCCCAAGUUUCCAGCUGGCGGUCUGAAUGAGAGAAGCUCAUUGACAUUACAAAAGGUGAGUGUUCACCCCAAUGAUCUUGUGGCUCAUCUGCCUGGGAGAAGCUCAUGGGAACAUCUGGAGCUGAGAAUGAUGGAACUGUACUCAUGUAGAGCCUGUUACCUUGACAGCUGGGGAAAGUCUCAAAACGGGCCUGCUCUGGCUUCUCCAUGGCCCUUUGGUGGUGAUUAACAAAUGCUGCUGAAAGAAUUGAGGUGCUGGAGGUUUUGGUGCAGGCGGGACUUUUGGUGCGGGCUGGAUUUUUGGUAAUUUUCAGAUUCUGAGAUGUCAGAAGUGUAGCAUGCCCUUUUCCAUUUUUUGGAAAUGUUGUCAAAUGAUGCUGAAAUUAUCAAAAAUUCUGGCCUGAUGCUUGGUCCAACCCUUAUCUGGCUGUGGUGCCUCCAUCAACCUGACGCUCUUUAGUAACCGGUCCAAGUCUUUGUAUGGAGGCCACCAUGAGUGGCCAUCUGAGUACCAGGACUUUGCUACAGGACCGGUACUCCCUUCUCCGACGAACUCCACUAUCAGGUACAUUUUUUUUGGCACCAACCAAACUUUCUGUCAGCACAGUGGCUUGAAAUCCUGACAGCCUGCAAGUUAGAGGACCCAGUCGAAGCCACAAGUGGAGAAGCCGCCUCAUGACACCAAGGCACACAAGGUGCAUGUAAUCAAGGGGGAAUCCAGAGACCAUAUCCAAGGAUGUUUCUUCUAGUGGGAAUGUCAUCCUGUUCUCCAGGUGCACACCAUCCUGAAUGCACUUUUCGCAUCCAUGGUAGCCUGCAUGGCCCUUCACUUUUUUCAGAAAAGCACGUGCAGGUGCGUCGCAAAUCAUUGAGGUAAGCUGUAAAGUUAACUUGAGUCCUUCAAAUUCAAAACCAUGACUUAAGUCUUUUAUUUCACAGAUGAAGUCUUCAAGAUACUCAUCCAGUGAGCUUGGUUUACUAUCACCACAAAACAAACCUAUUGUCACAGGUUCCUCCUGCACCAAAUGUUGCACAGUUACAAGAAUGGGCCAGAAUUGAGUUCAUGAACUCUUGUAGAGAGGCAGACCAUCGAUGCUCACCUGGAGCUUCAAAUUGCUCACAUUCCGUAAAAUGUCCAUGUUGUUGUAGAGUACACCUGAAAUGGAUUCCAGUAGACCAAAAUGAUAGUACUGGCCACCAGCCUUGUUUUGGACUUCAGUUCUAUUUGAACGCGCUGUUCCUAAUAGUGUCCUGGCAUCUUUUGGCAGAUUCAGAUCAUGCUUGCGGAGGAUAUUAAGUAAUGAAUUUAGUGCCACAUGUGUUAUUUGUUGUUCUGUUGCCCAGGUUGCCAAGUCAUCAUUAAGGGAAUUUGGAUGCAGUUCAGAAUCUGUGUCUGAGUCUGUGUCAGAUUCACUGCUAUGUGAAGCACUUGCCAUGGUGACACAUUCAGGCUCAUCAAUAUGGGACAAACCGUCCAUAAAGUCAUUGUUGUCAUCAGCGAUGCUGCUUGUGUCACUGUUCAUGCCACCAUACUGUUCCAUGUUCCAUGAUGAUGGUAGUGAUGCUUCCAUUGACUGGAGUUGUUUGUCCACCUUAGCCUUUUUUUUUUCGUCGCAAUGUCCAGUAAGAUGGUUUUUUGCAAUCCAUGGUACUGUGAUAUUAACACACACAGAAAAUGCAGUGCACUAACCUGAUAAGCCAAAUGCAGUGGUUCUCAACUCAAGUUUUGGAAGACACUUGCAUUGCACAUUUUGGAUGUCUUUUACAUGUGGUUUAACUCAUCAUAUAAUAGAAUCCCCUUAACCCAACAGAGCAUGCUAGAUGAGACGGACAUCCAGAAUGUGUAGUGUUAUAGGUCCCCAAGAUUGGAAUUCAGAAUCAAUGUCUAAUAUGCGUGACAAUGCGUAAUGUCUAAUAAUUCUGUCACAAUAAAUACACAUACCUUGGUUUUGAUCAAGUGUGAACUGUGGA